rnacentral:misc_RNA from 1 species
GGGGUAACGCAGCGGAGCCUCUGGGUCAUCCUCUCCAUCCGUGUCUCUUGUCCCUGUUGCUUCGGCGGGUCCGCCUUCCUUUUAGGGGGGGGGCUCUCUAGCCCCCCGGGCCCGCGCCCGCCGGAGACUCCAACAUUGAACACUGUCUGAAGUUUGCAGUCUGAGUUUUCAUAUAUGAAAAAUCCCUCCAACUUUCAACCUACGAAAUAUUGGUUCCGGCAUCGAUGAAGAACGCAGCAGAUCAUUACCGAGUACGGGCCUCUGGGUCCACCUCC